CUCAAGAAGUGGGUCAUUUACUGGUUCUAUUCAUAGGGAGAACUUUUUAAGACCUUGCGUUUUGGACUGUGUUCUAGCAAAAGCAGGUCUCUGGUUCAUCCAGGACCCUCAGCCACUUGAUGCAGGCCAACCCCUUUUCUCCUCCCUGUAUUAUCUCUCUCCUCAUUGUUGAAUUAAAAAAAGCAUAUAUGGAAGUAUAUGGAAAUGUUGAAGGUGCUUUACUCCAUUAAACAACAUUUAGAGUAUUUUACAAACAUGAUAAACGACCUAUGCCACCUUACUUCAAUGUACCACAGCCUAUCAGGAGUUGUGUAACAGUAGCUCUGGCAAAAUACACAACUUUUUUUGUACAAACUAAGUCCUGAUCUAUAGGUAAACUUUUUGUGUUAUUUAAUAUAUGACAGAAUAGUGAGAAGAGCUUCUCUCCACACCGUUUUAGAUACAGUCACACCACGCACUGACUGACUGUAUGCUGUGUCAUUUUAGGCUGUUAUACUAACAAUGAUGAUCACCAGCUUAAAAACAAACUUGAUAUUGUGGCAAACAGAAGCAUGCAGUAGUACCAUGAGUUCAUAGUCAUGGGUUAUGGUCAUUAAAAUACAGGAGAGACACAGCAGAAGCAGCAGAUGCUAGUAAGCUAGCUUUUGCAGACCUCUGAGAAAUGAUCAGGCACUUUCAAAAUCUGACAUAAGACUGAAUUCACAACCAACUUUUGUGUGUAUGACCCUGUAUUUAAGUAGUCAAUUAAACAUUUGUUCUUUAUUUCCAUUUUGAACUGUUUUGAUCCAGUUCUUUAACUUAUGAUCUAUCAGACGCAGCAUACUUAAGUCUUUAAAUGAGGAAAAUAAAAUAACUUAAACACUAAAGACAGAAAAAAAGCGAUCAAAAUUGAUAUGACUAACUAUAAUUUUAUAAGGCAAUGUCUGAACCAGAG